AAAAAUAGAAAGAAGGAAGAAGAAGAAGAAGAAGAAGAAGAAGAAGAAGAAGAAGAAGAAGUGGAGUAGAAAAGAAUAAGAAGGAGAAGAAGAAGAAGAAGAAGAAGAAGAAGAAGAAGAAGAAGAGAAGAAAAAAAUAAUAAGAAGAAGAAGUAAAGAAGAAGAGAAGAAGAAGAGAAGAAUAGAAUAAGAAAAAAUUAAGAAGGAUAAGAAGAGAAAAAAUAAGAAGAAGUAGAAGAAGAGGAUAAAGAAAAAUAGAAAUAGAAAU
rnacentral:lncRNA from 1 species